GGGGCCGCUCUCCUCCACGGCAGCUUUCCGUCCUCAGAGCUUCUAAGGGAGCCUUACUGUGUAUUUAAGUGCCGCGCUUCCCGCCACUCCUCGGAACAAGGAGCAGGUUAGCGAGUCUCCACGUUCACAGGCGCCCAACUGUCCGUUGGGGUGGGCCGGCGAGCUUGUUGCGGGGUAUCACCACCAGUUCACAGGAGUUCACGGGACUCCAGUGAGCUCCAGCGCCGACCUGCAUGGAGCUGCCCCGCCGUGCACAGAAGACAGCCCAGGGCGAGGGGAAAGCUCUGCUUUCGCAUACGCACAGCUUAGAGCCUAAAAUGGAACCAGGCCAAAAACUCAGCGGAAAGCUCUGUAGGGACCAUUAGUGAGCGACUCAGAAGCGCCCCCUCGCCUCCACCAACCAAAGGGACUGUCGGGGCCAGACAGCAGGGGACACUCAGAGGCUGGGGAUGACAGGUUGGAAUUGCAAGAAAUGCGACAAGGGUGAGAAACUGGCUCUCAUUUUGAAGCCCGGUACCGGGGGAUCCGGGAUGAGGAAUAUAAACAGGUUCUCGGAGAAGAGGGGCAUCUUGUACUUCAGUUCCCCAAAACUGGUCCUCUGGGGUGUCGAGAGGCCGGGCGGCCAGGGAGAAAACGCAGCCUGCGUCCAUCGGCUUGGAUCCGAACGGUACACAAAGUCAAGCCUCCACCCAGGUCUGACGCGGACUCCGCGGGCCCGGGGGGUGUGGUCUUGUCGCCACAGGGUUGGGGAAUUAUGCAAACCUGGCCCUUUCUUCAGCGAGUUGCUCCGCUCGGCCACGUGGACUUGACCGCGCCGAGAGGCCAGGGAAUCCCGCCGCCCUGCGCUGACCUGGGCUGCGGGGGUCGGCGCCCUGGGCCGCCCGCAGAUAAGGGCUUGACUUUUAUUCCUGCGCUCCAAGGACACGUGCCCGAGGCAGCUCCGGGCCUCAGCGAAAUCUGCCCUCGGGUUCUCCUGUGGGCUUCAUCCCUUCCUAGGACCCAAGACCCGGGCCUGCGCAGGAAUGUGCGCGGCGACCUUGCUUUUUCUGCCUACUCCUGGACUCCCCAUCUCACCCCGCAUCCAGAAAUUGUGGGAAACGCGCGACUGACUGUACAGAGGCCGUAGAGGCCCCGGGCCCUGCGCUGCCAACCCCGGGGACCGCCCUGGCCGCAGAUUCGCUCCUGUGGGUUUCGGGGCAGAGACUCAGGAGCAGCGCUCAUCAGACGGGGAUCCGCCCAGCAGCAGAAAGGUAAACGCUUGAAAACCCGCGAGAGGAGCCGGGUCCUGCGAGUGAGGAUUCAUUCUGUGGCCUGGAGUAGGGUUGCAGGUUAAGAGCCCGGAAGGAGAAAGGCGCACUUGCCUGUGGAUCUCCGGCACAAGGAUACUGGAUAGUUUACAGGAUCAACAGGAAGGCUGAAGAAUCGAGGAAAAUCAUUUCAGGAAACACCACAAGGUCACACGCAGGAAAGCCUGGCUCUGUAUAUGAGGAAGAUGUGGCUGCCCCCAGGAACAGAGAAGAAAAUGCUAGUUUUUCUACCAAUAUCCAUGAUCCCGUUCUUUCUUCAGCACACCUGAGUUUUAUAGCGGGCGCAUGGUCACACAGCUGAAGAUUAUACUUCCCAACAUCCUUGCAGCUAAGAUACCCUCAACGGCUUCCGCUGACUCUGGGAAAUGUGCCCCAAGCUUUGAAGAACGGCCCUCACCCCCCUCAGAGUCCAGGACAGAAGGGGAAGGGGCUCUAAAUGCAUCUGACUCUGACACAUUCCCUGGGUCAGAAUUUCUUUCCAGGACACCCUGGAGUCAGGUGCCCUUCCUCUGCUUGAGGCCUUCCCUGAAGUGAUCCAUCGGGCCCCAGUUUAGCUUCUCGCCAAGGCCUGCAAAUUACUGAGACUGUGAUGCCCCAAACUUGUGGGAUCCUCCCUCGGCACCAUCCCCGUAUUCGGAGGCUUGACCCAGAGGUCUCAUUCCCUCCCGGCUCUCACCCUCAGCGUUCAAUCCGGAGCCCGUCUGGAGGGAAGGGAAGACCUGAAGAGGCCGAGGGCACCUGCUACCAGCUGCGCAAGCGUUAAUCCCACCCAGCCGUCCAGAGAUCGAGAUCCGAUGAGGGGCGAUAGAAACUGUCACGCGCUGGCAGCCUCACGAAGUGCGGAACGCGGUCUGGCCUGGCGGACUGGAACUCCUAGGUGAGACCCAGACCCGCCGGCUUCCUCCCCUAAAGUAGCGGGUGGCGGGGAGAGGUUGCGUUCUCGUUAUGGGGACAUAGAAAUGUGGGUUCAGAGACUGAAGUGAGCCGGGACUGGGACCCGGAGAGGUGGUGCUUCCCCUGCGGUCCACGCUUACCCGCCUUGCUCCAGAGGCCUUAACAACGUCCCCAGAGGUUGCCAACCUCCUGGAAUGGGGUAGGUGGGCUUGAAAGGACGCUGAAUCUCCCUUUGGGCCUGCAGAGUCCCCUCAACAAUCCGGGCCCUAGCUCCCUGUCCCUAGCAGUGCCAGCGCGGCGGGAGGUCCAAGGUCAGCGCGCUGAGACACGGGAAAGUGAGGGCCUGCCGAGUGGGUGGCCUGGGGCAAAAUGAAUCCAGGGUUCUGGGAGAAAUUGGGAGAAGUGGAGGUUUGAAUGACCGCCGCCCCAAGGUGCCCGUUUUCCAAGCUUCGGCACCACUUGCUGCCAGGCCUCGGUGGGGGCGGGGGGGCGGAUAGAGCCCGCCCCUGAGAGUCCCCUCCCCCUCCCCGAGGCCGGAGGUAUUACUGCUGCUUGAUCAGACCUCAUUUCCUGCGAAAAUGGAGACAUAUCCAGGGUCCUUAAUAAAGUGAAUGACGAGGCUUCGGCUGUAAUUGGGCUUCCGGUUGGUGGCUAUUUCCUUAAACUGACAGUGGAAACAAUGUAAAGCCACAGCGCCCAAAUAUAAUUAUAUGAUUAUCAGAAAGAGGUGCAGGAUGGAUUUGCCCAGACCCGGAGGCAAUCACCUGAGAAAUGGGCACAAACGCUUACCCAGACCAAGGGACCCAGGAACCCCGGACCUCCACACCGACCCCACAUCCAAGCGGGCGCCUCAGCAAGCUUUGGCUUCUCCUCCCAUCCUGAGCCCCGCUCUGCCGCUGCCAUAGGGAAACGCAGGGCCUUUAUACGCUGGGGCGUGGGUGGGUCUUCUCCUUCUGAGAGGAGGAGGGUCCUCCAGUGCCGGGGGCGGGGGGCGGCCUGGCUGAGAGUCCCCGGACCGGUGCCCCGGACCGCGUACGCCGGCUGCAUAUUUCUAUGCAUAAUCCGAUUUUCUCCAUGACUAUUUAGUUAAACUCUUUUAACAACAGCUACAUAAUUAGAAUUUGGAUUCCCAUUAAUUUUCCCUGGGCCUCGAACCAUUUGCAGCUCACACUGGUAAUUAAUGCGAUACAUCACUAACUUUACCCAGCGCCGGCCAGCCGGGCUCAGAUCGCUCGGCCCGCGCCUGGCACCCCUGUGCGGGUCCCUGACACUGGACCCGGCUUUCCGAGUGGGGGCCGUUUUCCUCCCUCCAAAGCCAAAUGCCUCGGCCCGCGCAACCAAAGCCUUCUUUCCAGGAAAUUUCACAAUUAAAAAUAUUUAUCGGGAGCAGAUUUACGUUUCUGGGUUUCCAGUCUCGGGGCGUCUGGGUAGGCUAUUAAGAGUAAUUAGCAUCUUUUGCGCGUGCAGAUUUACUUCGCUCAUUGCCACAUCACUCAUCCCUAAAAGCCAGCGCAGGCGAAAACAGGCGCCGCCGCCAAAGCCGCUGCGAGAGCUACCGCCCCCGUCUGGGUCUGACUAGGGCUCCCCCGGCCCUGAGCCCCCGUACGCUGCCCGCUCCUAGUUAAUCUGGCCGAACUGCUUGCUCCAGGCCCAGGAGGCUGCGCGCCAAGCGAAAAGGUUCCCACCCUGGAGACGACUGAUGCAAGGUCGACCUCAGGCGGCGGGGGAGAAGGCCCAAGCCAGGCUCUCCCCGCUGCCUGAGCCCACGGUCUGGACCCGAGGCUUCGCGACAGUGCACUUGUGUGCGCGAGCGAGUAGGCGUGUCUGUAUAUGCAAGAUCUCGUGCGCGCAAGUGCACGUGCAUGUGGUUGUUAGUGCGUGUUCCUGAAAAUGCACGAGGCGCGCGUGGAAAACGAGCGCCUCAGCCCCCACAUUCAACAAUCCCUUCCCAGGACCGCAGCUCAAAUGCCAGUCCUAGGCCACUCAGCUAGGGCACUGAGGUUCAGAGGGAAACUCGGACCCCUACCUUGCCUUGAUUUCCUUUCUACAGAGCCGGCCCCAGCCAGCCUGAGGGCCUGGAACGCGCAGGGCGAGAGGGAAACUGGGAGGCCUGACGCCCGCUCACAUCCGAGCGCAGGUUGCCUGGUGCUGGUGAGAGGCCGCCAGAGAGAGGGCAGGCGGAGCAGGGAGUCACUGAACAGCGGCUGGCAGGACCGCUGGGGGCGGCCGGAGAGGUUGGGACCA